rnacentral:rRNA from 1 species
GAUGAACGCUGGCGGCGUGCCUAAUACAUGCAAGUCGAGCGAACAGACGAGGAGCUUGCUCCUCUGACGUUAGCGGCGGACGGGUGAGUAACACGUGGAUAACCUACCUAUAAGACUGGGAUAACUUCGGGAAACCGGAGCUAAUACCGGAUAAUAUAUUGAACCGCAUGGUUCAAUAGUGAAAGACGGUUUUGCUGUCACUUAUAGAUGGAUCCGCGCCGCAUUAGCUAGUUGGUAAGGUAACGGCUUACCAAGGCAACGAUGCGUAGCCGACCUGAGAGGGUGAUCGGCCACACUGGAACUGAGACACGGUCCAGACUCCUACGGGAGGCAGCAGUAGGGAAUCUUCCGCAAUGGGCGAAAGCCUGACGGAGCAACGCCGCGUGAGUGAUGAAGGUCUUCGGAUCGUAAAACUCUGUUAUUAGGGAAGAACAAAUGUGUAAGUAACUAUGCACGUCUUGACGGUACCGAAGCAGAAAGCCACGGCUAACUACGU